AAUUUCAUGGUGUGCUUGUUUCGAUUAAUUUAUAUCGCUGUACGCAGUUUACAUCCCACUUCUGGCGGUCUUUCUAGAAAGGAUUGGGGACUACAGUGCGUCUGAGUACGGCUUUCCACCCGAAGUCGGAUAGGCAGGCAGAAAGAACUAUUGAAACAUUGGUAGAUAUUUUUUGAGCUGUGUUAUUGAUUAUGGUGGCAGUUCGGUAGAGCACUUACCUUUGUUAGAGUUUGCUAACAAUAAUAUCUAUCAAUAAGAGUAUUAGUGUGGCUCAUUUUGAGGCAUUGUAUGUAGGAGGUGUUGAUCUUAUAUUUG
rnacentral:lncRNA from 1 species